UACGUAGGGGGCAAGCGUUGUCCGGAUUUAUUGGGCGUAAAGGGCACGCAGGCGGUCCAUUAAGUUCAGGGUGACAGUCAUCAGCUUAACUGAUGAAGUGCCUUGAAAACUGGUGGACUUGAGAGCGAGAGAGGGACAUGGAACUCCGGGUGGAGCAGUGAAAUGCGUAGAGAUCCGGAAGAACACCAAAGGCGAAGGCAGUGUCCUGGCUCGUUUCUGACGCUCAGGUGCGAAAGCGAGGGGAGCGAACGGGG
rnacentral:rRNA from 1 species